AUUGAACGCUGGCGGCAGGCUUAACACAUGCAAGUCGAACGAGUGGCGGACGGGUGAGUAAUGCCUGGGAAUCUGGCUUAUGGAAGGGGAUAACUACGGGAAACUGUAGCUAAUACCGCGUACCAUAGGAUGAGCCCAAGUGGGAUUAGGUAGUUGGUGGGGUAACGGCUCACCAAGCCGACGAUCUCUAGCUGGUCUGAGAGGAUGACCAGCCACACUGGAACUGAGACACGGCCCAGACUCCUACGGGAGGCAGCAGUGGGGAAUAUUGCGCAAUGGGCGCAACCUGAUGCAGCCAUGCCGCGUGAAUGAAGAAGGCCUUCGGGUUGUAAAGUUCUUUCGGUAGCGAGGCGUUAACUACAGAAGAAGCACCGGCUAACUCCGUGCCAGCAGCCGCGGUAAUUC
rnacentral:rRNA from 1 species